rnacentral:rRNA from 1 species
CGUUCCCGGGCCUUGUACACACCGCCCGUCACACCACGAAAUCGGGGGUACCAGAAGUCGCCGAGCUAACCGUAAGGAAGCAAGCGCCUAAGGUAAAAUCGAUGAUUGGGGUG